UGCCGACAGCAGAGAAAAAAAAAAAUCAUUUACCCAAAGACUCAAUUUUUUCUCUCCUCUCUCACGGCGAUUUGCCGAUUUCUGAUUUCGUUUCCUUCUGUGUAAAUCUAGAGCGUAGUCCUCCGAUUGAAGAGGUGAUUCAAGCUGGUGUUGUGCCUCGGUUUGUGGAUUAUCCACAGCUUCAGUUUGAGGCUGCUUGGGCAUUGACAAACCUUGCUUCUGGGACUUAAGAGAAUACAAAGGUGGUCAUUGAACAUGGUGCUGUUCCGAUUUUUGUUAACUGUUGGCUUCUCAGAGUGAUGAUGUUCGUGAGCAGGUUUUCAGAAAUACAAUGUUUGGACCAGAAGGACGUCCUCAUCAUUCUUGUGCAUGGCUCAGUGUGGCUAGUAGUUUCCCGGAAUGUGCUUCACUAAUAAUUCUUAAGGAGGCAAGUCCAUAAUUUAAUCUCAGUGCUUUUUACACUCUUUCCGUAGUACAUGUCUUUCACAUGAGAUUCUUGUAGUGUUGAGACCACCCAAUGAGCACCAGAUUACUCACAAUAUGACAAUAAACAAUGAAAGUGGUUAUAAAAUUGAAUUGACUCUGGUAUCAGGUUUGCAUAUGUACUAUGGCAAAUAAAGUUAUUGAUUCCAUAAGCUUCUUUUGGAUUUCAAAUCUUUAGUAUAUCAUCUUUUUUUAUUCAAACAAAGCAAUAUAGAGUUCUUUGUGUUGAAACUGAAACUGAACACUUG